AUGCCGGAGGCCGGGCCGGGGCUAGGGCUGGGGGCUGGGGGCCUGGGCUGCAGCUCGGGCGGCCCGCUCCGCCCCCCCCCCCCGGCGUCCCGCGACACCGGCUCGCAGACCCGGGCUCGCGGCGCGGAGACUUUGCUGGAGGAGACCCUGAAGGACCUGGACGAGUGCUACGAGAAGGUCCGCCGCGACACGGACUGUGCGCAGAAGCCCCGAGUGCCACCCUGCGCCCAGCAGGCCCUGAUCCGCAGCUAGGAGCCGGGCGAUCAGAAGAUCCAGAUCAAGAGCCAGAGGGUGGAGCUGGUGGAGGGCCGCACGCGGCAGGUGGACAGCCACGUGGAGCUGUUCCAGGAGCAGCAGGAGCAGGGCGACGCAGCGGGCGACGGCGUAAAGGUCGGCCCGGGCAGGCCCAGGGGCGAGGCGGCCGCGCAGGCGGAGAAGCCCAACAGCAAAGCGUUCUCGGCGACAGCGCAACAACGAGAACCGUGAGAACGCAUCCAGCAACCGCGACCACGACGACGUCACCUCGGGCACGCCCAAGGAGAAGAAAGCCCAGACCUCCAAGAAGAAGCGGAACUCCAUGGCCAAGGCGUAGCGGCAGGCGUCCCCCGCAGACCUCCCCAUCGACCCCAGCGAGUCCUCCUACUGGGAGAUGAUCCGCUGCGACAAGGAAUGCCCGAUCGAGUGGUUCCGCUUCUCGUGUGUGAGUCUCAACCAUAAACCAAAGUGCAAGUGGUGCUGUCCCAGAUGCCGGGGAAAGAAGGAUGGGCAAAGCCCUUGAGAAAUCCAAAAAAAACAGGGCUUAUAACAGGUAG